GACGAACGCUGGCGGCGUGCUUAACACAUGCAAGUCGAACGGAAAGGCCCUGCUUUUGUGGGGUGCUCGAGUGGCGAACGGGUGAGUAACACGUGAGUAAACUGCCCUUGACUUUGGGAUAACUUCAGGAAACUGGGGCUAAUACCGGCUAGGAGCUCCUGCUGCAUGGUGGGGGUUGGAAAGUUUCGGCUGUUGGGGAUGGACUCGCGGCUUAUCAGUUUGUUGGUGGGGUAGUGGCUUACCACGGCUUUGACGGGUAGCCGGCCUGAGAGGGUGACCGGCCACAUUGGGACUGAGAUACGGCCCAGACUCCUACGGGAGGCAGCAGUGGGGAAUAUUGCACAAUGGGCGGAAGCCUGAUGCAGCAACGCCGCGUGCGGGAUGACGGCCUUCGGGUUGUAAACCGCUUUCGCCUGUGACGAAGCGUGAGUGACGGUAAUGGGUAAAGAAGCACCGGCUAACUACGUG
rnacentral:rRNA from 1 species